GACGAACGCUGGCGGCGUGCUUAACACAUGCAAGUCGUACGGUAAGGCCCUUUCGGGGGUACACGAGUGGCGCACGGGUGAGUAACACGUGAGUAACCUGCCCACAACUUUGGGAUAACGCUAGGAAACUGGUGCUAAUACUGGAUAUGUGCUCCUGCUGCAUGGUGGGGGUUGGAUAGCUCCGGCGGUUGUGGAUGGACUCGCGGCCUAUCAGCUUGUUGGUGGGGUAGUGGCCUACCAAGGCGGCGACGGGUAGCCGGCCUGAGAGGGUGACCGGCCACAUUGGGACUGAGAUACGGCCCAGACUCCUACGGGAGGCAGCAGUGGGGAAUAUUGCACAAUGGGCGCAAGCCUGAUGCAGCAACGCCGCGUGCGGGAUGACGGCCUUCGGGUUGGAAACCGCUUUCAGCAGGGACGAAGCUUUUUGUGACGGUACCUGCAGAAGAAGCACCGGCUAACUACGUG
rnacentral:rRNA from 1 species